CCCCUUCAUGAUGAUGAGGUGAUUGCGUAUUUACUUGCAGGUUUACCGACAGAUUAUGAUCCAUUUGUCAUGUCGCUGACCACCCGGUCAGACCACCUCACGUUGGAUGAUGUUUAUGCCCAUCUCAUGGCAUUUGAAGC
rfam:Zea mays cultivar B73 chromosome 9, whole genome shotgun sequence.